rnacentral:rRNA from 1 species
UAUUAAAGGCAACGCCUGCCCAGUGAACAAUUAAACGGCCGCGGUACCCUAACCGUGCAAAGGUAGCGAAAUCAUUUGUCUAUUAAUUGUAGACCUGUAUGAAAGGCACAAUGAGGGUCUAACUGUCUCUUAUAAUAAAUCAAUUAAACUGAUCCUUCAGUACAAAAGCUGAAAUACCAACAUAAGACCAGAAGACCCUGUGAAGCUUUAACUAACCUAUUAAACCCAAUAAUAGCUACUUUCGGUUGGGGCGACCUUGGAAAAAAAAGAAACUUCCAAACNUAUGGUUAAAACCCACAAANANNGGCCCACAAGCCNAACUANCGACCCAGCACAGCUGAUAAUCGAACCAAGUUACUCCAGGGAUAACAGCGCUAUCUUCUUCAAGAGCCCAUAUCAAAAAGAAGGUUUACGACCUCGAUGUUGGAUCAGGACAUCCUAAUGGUGUAGCAGCUAUUAAGGGUUCGUUUGUUCAACGAUUAA